rnacentral:rRNA from 1 species
UGAGUACGAGCUGCUACGGCAGCGAAGUGGGUGAUGUCAAGCUUCCAAGAAAAGCCCUAUACCCGUUAAGGCAUGAUGGCCUGUACCCGAAACCGACACAGGUGGGGUGGUAGAGAAUACCGAGGGGCGCGAGAUAACUCUCUCUAAGGAACUCGGCAAAAUGGCCCCGUAACUUCGGGAGAAGGGGUGCCACCGCAAGGUGGUCGCAGUGAAGAGGCCCAGGCGACUGUUUACCAAAAACACAGGUCUCCGCUAAGUCGCAAGACGAUGUAUGGGGGCUGACGCCUGCCCAGUGCCGGAAGGUUAAGGAAGCUGGUCAGCGAAAGCGAAGCUAGCGACUGAAGCCCCGGUGAACGGCGGCCGUAACAAUAACGGUCCUAAGGUAGCGAAAUUCCUUGUCGGGUAAGUUCCGACCCGCACGAAAGGCGUAACGAUCUGGGCGCUGUCUCGGAGAGAGGCUCGGCGAAAUAGAAUUGUCUGUGAAGAUGCGGACUACGUGCACCCGGACAGAAAGACCCUAUGAAGCUUUACUGUAGCUUGGUAUUGUGCUCGGGCUCGGAAUGCGCAGGAUAGGUGGGAGGCUAUGAACCAUUGCUUGUGGGUGAUGGUAGCCACUGGUGAGAUACCACUCUUUCCGAGCUAGAGUUCUAACAGCCACCCGUUAUCCGGGGGCUGGACAGUAUCAGGUGGGCAGUUUGACUGGGGCGGUCGCCUCCUAAAAGGUAACGGAGGCGCGCAAAGGUUUGCUCAGGCUGGUUGGAAAUCAGCCGACGAGUGUAAAAGCAGAAGCAAGCUUGACUGUGAGACCUACAAGUCGAACAGGGAGGAAACUCGGCUUUAGUGAUCCGACGGUUCUGCGUGGAAGGGCCGUCGCUCAACGGAUAAAAGUUACUCUAAGGAUAACAGGCUGAUCUCCCCCAAGAGUUCACAUCGACGGGGAGGUUUGGCACCUCGAUGUCGGCUCAUCGCAACCUGGGGCUGAAGUCGGUCCCAAGGGUUGGGCUGUUCGCCCAUUAAAGCGGUACGCGAGCUGGGUUCAGAACGUCGUGAGACAGUUCGGUCCAUAUCCGGUGCAUGCGCAGGAAUAUUGAGAGGAUUUCUCCCUAGUACGAGAGGACCGGGAGGAACGCACCUCUGGUGUACCAGUUAUCGUGCCAACGGUAAACGCUGGGUAGCCAUGUGCGGAGAGGAUAACCGCUGAAAGCAUCUAAGUGGGAAGCCCACCUCAAGAUGAGUAUUCCCAUGGGGUAACCCAGUAAGGUCACGGGAAGAACACCCGUUGAUAGGCUCUACGUGGAAGCGCAGUAAUGUGUGAAGCGGAGGAGUACUAAUAGACCGAGGGCUUGAC